rnacentral:rRNA from 1 species
GAUGAACGCUGGCGGCGUGCCUAAUACAUGCAAGUCGAGCGAAGCGGGGACGGGUGAGUAACACGUGGAUAACCUCCUAUACGACUGGGAUCACUUCGGGAAACCGGAGCUAAAUCGGAUACUAAUAGAUGGAUCCUCGCUGCAUUAGCAAGAUGGUAAGGUAACGGAUUACCAAGGCAACGAUGCAUAGCCGACCUGAGAGGGUGAUCGGCCACACUGGACCUGAGACACGGGCCAGACUCCUACGGGAGGCAGCGGUAGGGAAUCUUCCGAAAUGGGCGAAAGGAUGGCGGAGCAACGCGGCGUGAGUGAUGAAGGUCGUAGGAUCGAAAAACUCUGUUAUUAGGGAUGCGGUACCUAAGCAGAACACCACGGCUAACUACGUGCCAGCAGCCGCGGUAAUAC